rnacentral:lncRNA from 1 species
CGUGAAAUGGUAAAAAAAAAAGAGGGGCUUAGAAAAUUUACCUCAGGGACGAAGGUCAUGGUGGCUGUGGGUGCCGCCAUUGAGACUUGGAAGACGGUGCGAUCGAUGAAGAAUGGGAGGAAGUCACCGGAGUGCACUGGAAUGCACUUGGAUGCGGGACAAGCGAGGGUGCUGGAGUGUGUUGGGAGACAAUUUGCCACGAAGGAAACCCUUUUCGCCCGGAGGAAGAAGAAGUGGUGGAAGAGAUGAGUAUCUGGGGGAUGGCUCGAGAGAGGAGUAAAUGUGGAAUUUUUACCACACCAUCUGUGCUAAUUUCGAAAAGAGCGGUUGCAUGUGGGUGCUCUGUUCGAAAAAAUGCAAUUGUC